UACGUAGGGUGCAAGCGUUAUCCGGAAUUAUUGGGCGUAAAGAGCUCGUAGGCGGUUUGUCGCGUCUGCCGUGAAAACCGGAGGCUCAACCUCCGGCCUGCAGUGGGUACGGGCAAACUAGAGUGCGGUAGGGGAGAUUGGAAUUCCUGGUGUAGCGGUGGAAUGCGCAGAUAUCAGGAGGAACACCGAUGGCGAAGGCAGGUCUCUGGGCAUUAACUGACGCUGAGGAGCGAAAGCAUGGGGAGCGAACAGG
rnacentral:rRNA from 1 species